CAAGUUUCGGUUCACCUUGUCUGCCCGGGACUGAGAAUAUCUCGACGGUUGGCCAGCCUCAUGAAUCGUGUUCAAGCUGUUUCUCCCCGUAAAAGGCUUGGCAUUUUCCUUUCUCAGGAGGUCCACUCGAUAAGUGCUUCGAACGUGGAGAGGAACUUAAGCGUCCGAAGUUCCUUGGAGUUGCUAGUGGCUUCGGAGGACCAGAGCUUUGAUGGAGUCUAAGCGCACAUCCUGUAUAAGAAAGAUCAUCGAACCGUUAAACAAAAACUCGAGAAUGAAAUCGCGGUCUCUCUUCGGCAAACCCAACUGUAAACUUUCGAUUCACGGCCUCCGGAAGCAGUGGACUUUUGUGGCGAGUCGGAGUCAUCGGGAGUAAAUGCGCCAUCUUUCCAAUCCGGCCCUUCGGACUCAGAUUCGAGAACUGGGAGUGGGAGGCAGGCUCCAACCUGUGGAAAAAAGCAAAUUUGCAAGCACGAUGAGGGAUGUCAUCGCAACGAGUAAUUCCCAGCGCUUACGUGAGGUGAUUCGCUUAUCAAGAUGCUGCUCGCUUCAGCGAGUUUCAUGCGCUCCGUCUCCAAGAAGCUCACACGCUCCAACACAUCGGGCGUGCUCACAAAUCUCACGAACCUGUCGCGCGCAAGUGGGAAGCGCCUUGAUGUGGACAAUGCAGCUCGAUGGAGCUACAAUCAUUCGCGAGCUGCUCUUGCGCCGUGUCGAGAUGCGCUAGAAAUGGCAUCAAGGAUCCAGAGGCCAAUCUCUCGGUGGACUCUCCAGCGGCAACCCAUAGCUCGCAUCUAAGGCAAGAACGAUUCAAGGCCUACGAAACGAAAAGAGAAAGAAAAGAGAAACCUGGAGCGAGAUUCGUCGAGCUGAAACACCACAGAAUCCAGCGGAGUAUCGGGCUUCAUUCCGGAUUCGUUGGAGAAGAGGAACAGCCACUCGUGCCGAAGCGAUGAACAGGGGGAAGGCAGGACUUCCUUCAACCAACCAUCGGGUUCUUCAUGGACUUCAAUUCUCUUCAAGGACGUACACGGUGCUGGAGGAGAGCUGGCGAGUCACGAGACGGCCCACAUCAGAGAAAGAAAGAACAAAAGGAGAGACCGCUCGCAGCGUACUACAAAGCAGUAGCACUGAGCAGGACAACGAAGUGAAAAGAGGAGGCAAUUGCAUAGAGGAAAAGAAAUCUCUCAAUCGAGGAGGAGGAGGCACAACCCAGUGAAGUUAUCAACGCUGCUCAGCGAGCAGAGAAGAAAUAGGAGGAGCACAAACAGUGCACCCUUACAGAGAGAGUGAGGUAAGUAGACAGCAGCAUUUCAAUACGGCUUUCACCAAGUUUGGAAACCUCUGAUCGGCUUCUGUUUUGUUUGCUCAGCAGCUACAGUGGAUGGGCCAAGCGACAAAGCAACCACCUGUACUUGGCGCCGCCGAUGAUGAUCAUGCAUUCAUUCGUAAGCAGAGUGGCAAGCGCAGGAGAGGAGGAAUGCCAGAGUGCCAAGAAGGAAGAAGGGAUGGAGGCAAAAAAAAAAAAAAAGAAGAGGAGAGCGACCUUCGUGUGCUACGCUGCUGCUCCUGCUGCUACAGUGUUCCUGCGCUCGCUUGUGCCCACAACACUCUGGAACAGUCUGAUGAGAACACAGCUCAUCGAAAAGGGAGGGAUCAGUCAUUACGAAACACCAGAGAGAAAGAGAAAGACGCCCCACAAGCCACAGCGCGCGCCUCUACUUAGACCUAUUGUCGGGGAGCAGCAGUGAACGCAUGGCUACCAUUCCACUCGCACAGAGCGAGCUCUCGCUCAUAUGCGAGGACUUUAAACCUCCCCCCUUUGUCCGGC